GCCCGCCUAGCUCAAUCGGAUAGAGCGUCAGACUCUUACCGAGUACAUGCGGGUGCAACGAUCGUGUGAUCUGAAGGCUGCGAGUUCGACCCUCGCGGUGGGCU